rnacentral:lncRNA from 1 species
CUUUUCGAGGUAGGAGUCGACUCCUGUGAGGUAUGGUGCUGGGUGCAGAUGCAGUGUGGCUCUGGAUAGCACCUUAUGGACAGUUGUGUCCCCAAGGAAGGAUGAGAAUAGCUACUGAAGUCCUAAAGAGCAAGCCUAACUCAAGCCAUUGGCACACAGGCAUUAGACAGAAAGCUGGAAGUUGAAAUGGUGGAGUCCAACUUGCCUGGACCAGCUUAAUGGUUCUGGGUUUUUAAUGACCACAACAAGCAAGCAUGCAGCUUACUGCUUGAAAGGGUCUUGCCUCACCCAAGCUAGAGUGCAGUGGCCUUUGAAGCUUACUACAGCCUCAAACUUCUGGGCUCAAGUGAUCCUCAGCCUCCCAGUGGUCUUUGUAGACUGCCUGAUGGAGUCUCAUGGCACAAGAAGAUUAAAACAGUGUCUCCAAUUUUAAUAAAUUUUUGCAAUCCA